rnacentral:rRNA from 1 species
GAUGAACGCUGGCGGCGUGCCUAAUACAUGCAAGUCGAGCGAACAGAUAAGGAGCUUGCUCCUUUGACGUUAGCGGCGGACGGGUGAGUAACACGUGGGUAACCUACCUAUAAGACUGGGAUAACUUCGGGAAACCGGAGCUAAUACCGGAUAAUAUUUCGAACCGCAUGGUUCGAUAGUGAAAGAUGGUUUUGCUAUCACUUAUAGAUGGACCCGCGCCGUAUUAGCUAGUUGGUAAGGUAACGGCUUACCAAGGCGACGAUACGUAGCCGACCUGAGAGGGUGAUCGGCCACACUGGAACUGAGACACGGUCCAGACUCCUACGGGAGGCAGCAGUAGGGAAUCUUCCGCAAUGGGCGAAAGCCUGACGGAGCAACGCCGCGUGAAUGAUGAAGGUCUUCGGAUCGUAAAACUCUGUUAUUAGGGAAGAACAUACGUGUAAGUAACUGUGCACGUCUUGACGGUACCUAAUCAGAAAGCCACGGCUAACUACGUG